UCAUACGACCAGAAAGAAAACCUUUCUCUCCAAUUGAUUUUCUCACUCCCACUCCUUUUAGGGUUUCUAAAAUCUUCAGAUUCUGAUACGUUUUUGGGGCUUAUUAUUAGAAUGAAUCUGGAUUGAAGUCGACUUGAACUCAACUUGCCGCCGUAGCAGUUGGAGUUAGUCGUCGGCCACCGCUAAACACCGAGGAAUGAAACACUGAUUAAUUACAUCGUACCAAAUCUCCACUCAGCGGCGCCCUUAACAGAACAGAUGAAGAUUAAGAAACAAAGUAGGCAGCAAAAGACUUUGACGAUUUUCACAAUUUGUUUCGGUUUCCAUGAGCCUUACAAAGUUCUCUAUGAUGAAGCAUUUGUGCAUCAACUUAUUGUGAAUCGUAUAACCUCUACUGAUACGGCUCUUGCCAAUAGUCUUAGUGCUAUAGUCAAGCUUUACAAAUCAAGGAUGAGAUAUUCUCCUCAUCGUUCGCAUCUGUUAUGUACUUGAAGGUUAACAAUUUCCCUUCACAAAACUAGGUACUAUAUAAACCAAAUUCUAAAGAAGGCAUUUGAAGUGGCUCCUGCUGAUCCACCUCAAUAUGUAGUUGCCAUCAUGACCGUGAUCGUCACCUUCGAAUGCAUGACCGGUGAUACAAGAUAUAAAAGUAUAAACAGAAAUUGUGAAACUACCUUGCUGGGCUUCUAGCCUUUUUGGUGUACAUUGGGCUGCUGGUAUAGCAGGAGAUCAAUGGGAACCUAAAAUUGUUGGAAUCUCACUCUUUCUAUUAGGUAUAUUAUUAUUAUGUUUACAAUUAAAUGUAUAAGGUGAUUACACAUUAUGGAUCUUAACUGAUUACAUUAUAGAUCCAUUGUCAACUUAGCUCAGUUGGUAAAUAUAUGAAAAAAAUACAAGUAUAUCUUAAGCUCAAAACCAAUUGAUGUACUAGAGUUUUUAUUAUAUUUUUUCCAGCUAGUGACCUCUUUGAUGCAUUUACUAUGAUUUUCGUCAUUUGUUCUUAAUGCGAGUUAAUUUAAGUACAUGCAAACUAACUUUGUCAAAGGAUGAUGCUAAUAUGAAUAUAUUGCAUUAAAUAUUUUUGUUUACCAACUAUACUUUAGGUCUGUUAAAAGUAAUUAAUGGAAGAUUUACUUAAAACUAUACUUGACCAUACAAAGUUCUAGUGCUCUUCGUGAUUAAUUAAGGUGCUAUAUAGUGCUAUAUAGUUUGGUUAAUUUCCUACCACUUAUUUAAUUAA